AGCAGCGGUGACAGCAGUAUUCGUUAUGAGCGCACAUGAAGUACAGGAAAGGAAAGUUGUCACUCUAGUCACCCGAGACUGUUUUAAAGUUGCCGGGCUACGAGCAGGCUGCCCAUUGAUUUUACUGUUUAUCCACUGACAGAAGCAGAGUGGCUCCACAGAAUUCCUGGUUCUGGAUUUCUGGAUUGGAAUAGGCUAUUCGAAGCCCCGCUGAAGCAGACAUUCUGUGCCGGCGCCAGGGGAAACGAGGAGCUGACUCCAGGCUGAACUGGACUUGGGUAUUGUUUCACCCUGGGACAGAACAUUGGACAAUCCAUGUUUUUUUUUCCAUUGUCUCCCCGGGUUUUUGAGGAGAUUGUCAUUUUAAUAUUGUCAUUUUAAACUUAACUUUUAAAAUAAUA